rnacentral:rRNA from 1 species
UAGGGAAUAUUGGACAAUGGGGGCAACCCUGAUCCAGCCAUGCCGCGUGAGUGAAGAAGGCCCUCGGGUUGUAAAGCUCUUUUGUCCGGAAAGAAAAGCUUCGGGUUAAUACCCCGGGGUUCUGACGGUACCGGAAGAAUAAGCACCGGCUAACUUCGUGCCAGCAGCCGCGGUAAUACGAAGGGUGCAAGCGUUACUCGGAAUUACUGGGCGUAAAGCGUGCGUAGGUGGUUGUUUAAGUCUGAUGUGAAAGCCCUGGGCUCAACCUGGGAAUGGCAUUGGAAACUGGGCAGCUAGAGUGCGGUAGAGGGUAGUGGAAUUCCCGGUGUAGCAGUGAAAUGCGUAGAGAUCGGGAGGAACAUCUGUGGCGAAGGCGACUGCCUGGACCAGCACUGACACUGAGGCUCGAAAGCGUGGGGAGCAAACA